rnacentral:lncRNA from 1 species
AUCAGUGUCUUUGAAAUAUUGAUACAUCUUUUACCUUUUGCAAAAUUAAGGAUAGGGGCUAGGAAUAUACUUGUUCUGCCCAACUCAACAGAUACUGUGAGGUUUAAACUAGAUUAUAUAGCACCUCAUUGCAUAAACAAUAAAUGGUAGCUGGCCAGUCAGUAUCUUAGUACAAUCUUCCCAUUUAGAAACUAAUUCUUAGCUGCUGCAGUACUAGGAAUGUGUAAUUCAUCCAGAGUUACACUGGUCUGGGUGACUGCCAUACUCCCGAGACCCACAGUGGCUUGUGGACAGGAAAUAGAAGGUCCACGCAGUCAACUGUGCUGGGAGUGAUGACUUAGUUUUAAGAUUUACCUUGGCCAUUUCAACUAAUCAUUUAAUCUUUCUGGGCCUCAGUUCCUUGUGUGUGUGUAUGCUAAGUCGUUUCAGUUGUGUCCAACUCUUUGUGACCCUAUGGACUGUAGCCCACCAGGCUCCUCUGUCCACAGGAUUCUCCAGGCAAGAAUACUGGAGUGGGUUGCUGUGCCCUUCUCAAGAAUAGAAGAAUGGACCAAAAUCUCAGAGGUAUCCCUCAGCCAACCUUCUCCGGGGGCCGGCAGCCACCUCAGGAGAAAGCCAUCUCGAAACUCUCGCAAGGUUUACCUCUUUAGCAGGCGAAUGCCCAUACGAACCAAACAUUCUAAGGAAAUUCAUCAUAACCCCUGGAUGAAAAGGUAACAGAAAAGUGACGGUGUCUGGUACCGGCUUCUCCUGUAUCAGUUCCAGAGACCCCUACAUCCUCCCAUUGUGUGAGAAAAAUAGGAAAAGUCUUUGGAAUGAAAACUUAGCAACGUUAAUAGAGCUAUUGAACUGAAUACAACCUACCACCUAGAGGUAACAAAGCUAUCGUGAAAACUGUCUUAAUGUUUUAAAAUUAUUUGAGUGGUGAAGUUGUAACCUAUGAACUACUCUUAAUUAGUUAAUUAAAUCCUGUGGACCUCAGGUAACUCAAUAAGCUGCCCAAGUCUGUAGUCUGCUUCUGGAAGCACUUUGGAUAGUGGUAAACUUGUUUAAUUGGGAUAGCCACCGCCAGGACCAGCCAAGGCAGAACUAUUGAGGACUUUGUCCAGUGAGUUUCAUGUGUGCCCAAGUGGCAUUCUGAGUGCACUCAAACCUGUUGUUCGUCUCAGUCUUGCCUUCCUCUGCAUUUAUCUGUAUCCUUGGAGUCAGUUCACAUUGCUCUGUGCUGCCUUUCUGGCUACUCAUUCUUGGUUGACAGCACUCAAACAUUUUCAUCAGGUUCCAAGAACCCCCAUUUUACUACUUAAACAGAGACAUAGACGAAAACCCAACUCCUUUAUAUCUUUAUCUUCACAGGUUGUUUCAGUUGGGUUCUCUGGGAAGCAGAUGCUAAAAUGGAGUUAGAAAUGCAAGGCGUUUAUUGGAGAUAACACCUGCAAAAGAUAAAAGGCAGGCAAUAGGAUUGGAAAGGAAAGACUCAGACCACAGUGCAUAUCUGAUGGGGUCUCAGUCAAUCUGGUGGGGAGCUAGAGAACAAAGGCUGGUGAUUGGAAGGGUUCUGCAUUGGAAAGACUGGCAUGCCCCAGUAUCUCUGCCAUGCUUGGUCAUUGGCUGGGGCUCUCCAGAAAAAAAGAGGCCACCACUCAAAAGCUGAGGCAGACUCCUCAUGUGUUAACAGCUGUGGACUGACCAUGCUUGUGGGAGAACAUCAAGGUCUUUCUUGAAGGGAAAUCAGAGGGAAGCAACUCUAGUACUGCUUCAUCAAUUGAAUUUCUCUACUGUCUCACCUCUGUAAUCUUAAACUCUAUAUGCUACCUGUUCACUAUAACACCCUAUCUUUCCACUGUUCAUCCCCUUAGUCUCGUUAUAUCUGUUCUUUGCUUUUGUGUGAAACUUUCACUCCCCUACUCCCUCCACCUUCUCUAAACAUUUCACCCUCUCUUGACAUCACUGCUUUCUCCAGGUAGGCUAGACCCAGUUCCUCAUCACUUCAUCCAUUCUCCAGCCAAUAUCCUUAAAUUCUCUGCCCCCUUUUCUCUUAGUGCCCACAAUGCAAAACCAUGUUUAUCCAUCUGCCUUCUUUAUUCCUAUACUUAAGCUGAUGGCCACAGCUAAAGAAAAUCAUACAAUAAUACAGAUUAAUGUCACAUAGUUUCUAGUCUUGGCUGAACCCUAAACACUGUACAGAAAUCCUAUAAUUAGAUUCUUCCUUCUCAUAUGGCACCUGAAGGAAAAAUCUUAUAAUUUUUGUUUUGCAACAUGUUAGCAAACAUAAUGGGGAAAAGUUCUUUAGGGUAGAUCUGAAUUCUACCUUUACAGCUUGUGUGAACUUAUUUAACUCCUUCGGGUCUUUUCCCCUCCGUCUUUAAAAUGGAGCUAUUAUUAGCUGCUGAUGACAUUGUUUACAGGAUUACAUAAAAUAUUUAACCAGUUUAGUGAAAAUUCUCAAAUCAUUAAGAAUACAGACCCUAAGGUUUUUCCCCCACUAACUGACCAACUGUACUCUACUGAAAACCCCUCUUUCCACUAAGGACACCCCAAUCCAAUUUCAUAACAUUUGGACAUUUUAAGUUAUUAAACCAGUCCUCUUCUCCAUUGGUGUAGCUUAGGUAGGAAACUGUGUGUGCCUUUAAUGAAGGCAUGAUCAGCUUUCUUGAACUCCACAAUUUCCUCCUUCCACUUAACAUUUGGUGUCUGAAAAGGAAGACAGAGAGAGAAUUUGUUUCUUCAUACACUGUCAAGGUUGCUGUCCCACUUUCAUUGUAAAUGACCUUGAAUCUUUUCUAUAGGCUCAGGAUGACCAGGUAGUGACUGUAAUAAUUUCCACCGACAAAGAGGUCAGUUAUAAGCAGUUCAAGUAAACAUUGAUGGUCCCUGGGAGACUAAACUUUAUCUUUUGGCUUAAUUUAAUCCUUUCCAGUUCACCUCCCACCCAAAGGACCACUCCAUUAUUCAAGUGAUCUACAUCUUACCUACUUUCUCAUUAGCCAUCACAACCCAACUCUGGAGCCAAAGGUAUAGGUAAGAUUCAUUUUCUGUUGUUGUUCAGUUGC